rnacentral:rRNA from 1 species
GACGAACGCUGGCGGCGUGCUUAACACAUGCAAGUCGAACGGAAGGGCCUCUUUCGGGGGGUACUCGAGUGGCGAACGGGUGAGUAACACGUGAGUAACCUGCCCUUGACUUUGGGAUAACUUCAGGAAACUGGGGCUAAUACCGGAUAGGAGCUCCUGCUGCAUGGUGGGGGUUGGAAAGUUUCGGCGGUUGGGGAUGGACUCGCGGCUUAUCAGCUUGUUGGUGGGGUAGUGGCUUACCAAGGCUUUGACGGGUAGCCGGCCUGAGAGGGUGACCGGCCACAUGGGGACGGGGAGACGGCCCAGACUCCAGGGGGGGGAGGAGGGGGGAAUGAGUGAAAAAGGGGUGGAGGCCGGAUGCAGAACCGCCGGGGGGGGGAGGGCGGACUUGGGGUUGAAAACCGUGUCCGAUCAUGAGGAGGUGUGGUGGGACGGUGGUGGGUAAAGAAGCACCGGCAAACUAGGUG